CCUACGGGAGGCUGCAGUGGGGAAUAUUGGACAAUGGGGGGAACCCUGAUCCAGCGACGCCGCGUGAGUGAAGAAGUAUUUCGGUAUGUAAAGCUCUAUCAGCAGGGAAGAAAGAAAUGACGGUACCUGACUAAGAAGCCCCGGCUAACUACGUGCCAGCAGCCGCGGUAAUACGUAGGGGGCAAGCGUUAUCCGGAUUUACUGGGUGUAAAGGGAGCGUAGACGGCGAUGCAAGUCUGAAGUGAAAGGCGGGGGCCCAACCCCCGGACUGCUUUGGAAACUGUAUGGCUGGAGUGCAGGAGAGGUAAGUGGAAUUCCGAGUGUAGCGGUGAAAUGCGUAGAGAUUAGGAGGAACACCAGUGGCGAAGGCGGCUUACUGGACUGUAACUGACGUUGAGGCUCGAAAGCGUGGGGAGCAAACAGGAUUAGAUACCCCGGUAGUC
rnacentral:rRNA from 1 species